rnacentral:rRNA from 1 species
UACGGGGGGGUAAGCGUUGUUCGGAAUUACUGGGCGUAAAGGGCUCGUAGGCGGCCAACUAAGUCAUACGUGAAAUCCCUCAGCUUAACUGGGGAACUGCGUGUGAUACUGGAUGGCUUGGAUUUGGGAGAGGGAUGCGGAAUUCCAGGUGUAGCGGUGAAAUUCGUAGAUAUCUGGAGGAAUACCGGUGGCGAAGGCGGCAUCCUGGACCGAGAUUGACACUGAUGAGCGAAAGCUAGGGGAGCAAACGGG